rnacentral:sRNA from 1 species
GCUGCUGUUUAAAUUUUAAGACAGUUCCUAACUGGAUCAGAGCCCUCAACCAGCAGGCCAAGGGAAACUGAAGAAAAACCAGGUCAUGCUGCAUGUUUUUGGUGAGCCCAGGAAUCAACAAAGAGAUGUUAUAUAACUUCUAUUUAUAUCCUCCUUGCUCACUAUCUGCAGGCAGACAAGAGUCUCUCUCUGUGCAGGGAUUUAAUGAGCUCUCUGGGUUUGCUCACCUUCCUGAGCUGGUAGGAACCAGCUUGUUCUCCAAUGCGUCAGUAAAGAGUCUGGCUGUGGGUGGGCGGCCAGGGUAGGUGGACCGAGUUGUUACCAUGGUGUUUUUUAAUUUCCCAUCUCUCAG